GCUCUGUGGUGAAUGGUGUUUUUUUGCAGGAAAGGAAAGCACAUUUGCAUGAUGACAGGCACAGGGCUAAGUGGUGAAGGCCGAAGGUGUGUGACUCGUGAAACAGCACCGGCGUCUCCGAGGCCUCGCCCUAAUUAGCCGAGGCACCGAUUCGUCAGUUAUCGAGCGGGAGGACGCGUCAGGCAAAAUAACGUCAGCGACACCUGCCUCCUCUGCCGAGAGAGAAGACGAGCACCACAGAGCAAUGUUCCUGGGAAGCUAAUGUUCCUUUGGAAGUGGAGGAUGGACUUUUAGAAAAGAGGACCAUCUCUAACUCUGGCGUGGGUUACAUCUACCCACCCGGUGAGAUCCUGCAACCUGUGCUGAACCUGUAUAUGUAUAUGGACAUCUUAGAUUGCCUUUAGGACAAAUAAAUCUAAUGCCCUGCUCUGCUGCAUAAUAAACACCUUCUUGCCUUUUA